rnacentral:rRNA from 1 species
AACGAACGCUGGCGGCAGGCCUAAAACAUGCAAGUCGAACGAACCUUCGGGUUAGUGGCGCACGGGUGAGUAACGCGUGGGAAUAUCCCCUUCACUGCGGAACAACGUCGGGAAACUGACGCUAAUACCGCAUAAUGACUCCGGUCCAAAGAUUUAUCGGUGAAGGAUUAGCCCGCGUUAGAUUAGCUAGUUGGUGAGGUAAUGGCUCACCAAGGCGACGAUCUAUAGGGGGUCUGAGAGGAUGAUCCCCCACACUGGAACUGAGACACGGUCCAGACUCCUACGGGAGGCAGCAGUUAGGAAUAUUGGACAAUGGGGGCAACCCUGAUCCAGCCAUGCCGCGUGUGUGAAGAAGGCCUUAGGGUUGUAAAGCACUUUCGGCUGUGAAGAUAAUGACAGUAGCAGAAGAAGAAGCUCCGGCUAAAUUCGUGCCAGCAGCCGCGGUAAAGUACGUACGAU